CUCUCUCUCUCUCUCUCUCUCUCUCUCUCUCUCUCUCUCUACUGCGGCCUCUUCCCUCCUCAUCAUCUGCCUCCACUGUAUCUACUUUUCUCUUUGCCACUGUUUUUGUAAUGGAUUAGUUUUUUUUCCAGUCUUUUUUCUUACAUUUCUCUCCAUAAUACAUCAGAGAGAGAGAGAGAGAGAGAGAGAGAGAGAGAGAAAUUUCAUCAACUUGUAAUUUUUUUGGUCUCAUCUUUCAGUUGGUCCUCCGUGACGCUCUUCAUCGCGAAAGGACCCUUCAUAGCGCCAGUCUUCUUUCAUUACUUUUUCCUUCCCUCCUUCAAAGUUUUCCUCUUUCAUCUCUCAACUUCUUUAUGUCCUAUUAUGAACUAACUCCUUUCUGCUUCCCGUCACUGGAAUAAAUAGCUAUCCUGCCCUUUGUUUUUUUUUUUCUCUCUCUCUAAUCUUCAUCGUUUCAUUUGCUUUAUGUAUGCAUCCUUGCCUUCUAUCUGUCUUGUUUAUGGCGUCAUUCACUCGCCGCUCCAAGAACCAGUUUGUUUUGCGGCACCUUGUGAUUUAGCCGGUGCUCCAGUUUAUUACAGGACGCGUGUUCAUAUUUCUCCCUUGUUUACUCUGCUGAUUCUCGCUGCCGCUGGAUAGGAAUUGUAUUGGACAGUCUUUCUUUUUGAUGUUUUAUGUAAUUUUGGCUGUUAACUCUACUCGCGUGAAGAGAAAAGUCAGCUCGUAUCGGCGCAGUGAUCGGAGAGACAAAGACGAGUCGCUUAUGAGGUCUGGCGAAAAUUGAACCGUCGAUUCUGUUUCAUGACGAUCUGACGACCUCGAUUCUGGGUUAAUCUUGCGUGCCGCCUCUCAACGGAAUUUGUUUGAGUGGCUUUGAUGUGUUUCUCAAGGGAGCAAGGUAUUCAUGAGAGAACCUGGGGCGCCUUCAUUCCCGCUCCCCGCCACACUCGCUAUUAGGAUUAGGACCCUCACUCUCUGCAGCCACGCAAGUUUAAGGCAGUCAGGAGUUCGUUUAUGUAGUAAGCUUAGUGGGAUGCUUGAAAAGAGAAGCUCCAUUCCGGUCACAAGGAAGCUUUGGACUCGAAUUUCCUCCCAUAGAUGCUGAUAGAGGUGGCGGUGAGAGUGGCGGAGGAUGUAUGGCUUUGAGGUCCCGUGAAGUAUGCUGUUGACGUGUGCAGGUGGACAGUGUAUCAGCCGAGCAGCGUGUAAGUAAUGAGCUGUUCAGAAGAGUAGUUGUGAGACAUGGCUCUCACUCACGCAUCGAUCUCGUGUGUGUGUGUGUGUGUGCCGCGUCCGUAACAGACUUAGCACAGCAGCUGUGGAUAGCGACCCUUCGGACCUGUGUAGCGGUGGUGGAGGUUAGCGUCCCUCAGCCUGCCUGACUCCAGCAUCGUACUGGAAAGAUUCUUCCUUACUGCUUGAAAUUAUUUGACUAUUACUUUAGUUCUGCCAAUGAUUUGCAGUGUAUAGUGAUUUCCCUUGCAGAAAAUUAAUGUGUAUACGCUUAUUUGGCAAAAAAAAAAAAGAAAAAAAAAGGAAAUUUAAAUUAGGCAAGCCAUUCCAAAAGUAAUUAAAGGUCCAGAGCAAAAAUGACCACUUUAAUUUACUUCACAGAAAGAACGCGAGUUUUUCCUUCCCUCUUCCAUAAUGAAUGAGUGUUGGACUCAUUUUUCAACAUCAUCAAGGCCUUGGUUACUUAUACGCCGGGGCAGAGGGGAGGAGGGGUAGAUGCCGGACUGAAGGUAGGGGGAGAGGCAGGCCGGGGAGAGACAGGAGACGAGAAAGUGGCAGAAGAGGAUGGAAUUGUGGAUUAGACGCUGAAUGUGACACGUGAAAGGUGACUGUGAGGGAAAUAAGGAAGAGUAGGUGGAGAAGGAUGAGGAAGGAAGGGUUCAGUCACAUGAAAGGUUGGAAAAGAGAGAUCGAGAGAAGAAAGGAGGAUGAGAAGAAACUGUAGUAGUGCCAAGACGUCAGGAAUGGGGAGGUCGGAAGGAGAAGUCGCGGAAGAGGAGAAGCAGAAGUGAUGGUCCGGCGUCACACAUUUAGCGCGAAGAAUAGAAAGUAUCCCACCGCACGUUACGCCCGAGGAAUUUAAGGCCACAAUUCAUCACGGGAAAAGUUCAUUAAAGCUCUGGAGCUGGGCGGGAGGUGGUGCGUCUCCUGCCUGACGUCUGCGCAGGAAGAAAUGAUACGAACUUAUGGCGGGAAGACCAAUUACCGGAGGCGGGAGGAAUGGAGCUUGUCUCGUUUGCUUACAGGAAAAAAAUCUUGCACAAAAAACCACUGUCGCUUAUUUGUCUUCCCCAUGGUCAUUGCCACUCCAGGAAGAAUGAAGGGGUUUUAAUGAGAUGGCGAGGAAGGAACGAGGGGCGAGCGAGAGAAAAUACAGCGGUUGGAGUAACGAGGAGCGUUAGGAGGGUUCAGUCAGGGUUCAGUUAGGGGGGUAAUAAAGGAGAGGAGUGCAUGGAGAUGGAUAAACGGAGAGAGUAAUGAGGAGUAGUACACGUAAUACUGUGGUAAGGCGAGGGAGCUGAUAUGAAUUAAAUAAAAGCUUAGAAAAGCACAACUUAUGAGCGACUAAUGUGAAAAAUGGAAGCGAAUGAAUGAAAAUGAAAGAAAACGAUGCUUAAUAAGCACACAAGAAACUGAAAAGAUUAUUCACCUGAAAACAAAUGAAAACAAGAGGAUCCGUUUGUGUCAUUUGUGUUUAUUACUCGUGAGAAGACUGUCCCUUUUCGUCCCUCUCCCAUCAUCGUCUCCUCCUCCCCUUGCUCCUCCUGGCCUUCCUCCUCUUCCUCCUUAUCCCCGUCCUGGAAUUGGUUCCAUUGAGGGCGGAGGGACGCACGCCUUCCAUUACUCGCAGGUGCUCGGGAGUUCUCGGGAGGCUCAUUGUCCGCCAGCCAAGCCAUCAUCCUCGCGUCACGAGUCGAGCGCUGCCACCGCCGCCCCUCCGCAACUCAUUUUAUUGACAGAAUCACCGCCACUCGCUGCUCACCUCCCACUACCUCACUCGUUCCAUUGCACAGUUGUCCCAGACCUUGGUGGAUUGUACUGCAUCGCAUUUCAAUCACGAUUCAGCGUCUUGAACGUUCCUGUACACAGUUGCCCUAAAUACCGUGUUCAGAAACGCUUUGUUCUCUCAUAACGACUAUUUUCAAAGGCCACAGAGAUGACUUGCUGGGUUCUGAAAUGUAUUCCUCCUGUUAAUUGAAUAGAAAUCCUGUCAAUUUAUUAUUAAUCUCUCUCUCUCUUUCUCUCUCUCCUUAAAAGCUCGUCACUUCAACUAGAGCCUUCUGAAAGUAGUAGAGGUGCAGAAGUGUUUCAGAAUAUGGUCCUAAGUGUGUAUGUACUAUACUGUUCACCAUUUUCAUCAUCAUGUUUCAGACUACAGGUACUACUAUAAUGACAUCAGUUUACUUAAAACUUUUAUUCCUAGACUUCUCUUAAAUAAGAAAACUAGGACGCUUUAGUAAGGAAAAGAUGCGAAACUUUCAUUCAUAUUAGGCCACAGGUAUAGCACAAAGAAUUACUAACUUGCACUGAAGUGGCAAUAGGGAUAACUUGAAUAAACAUGUUUGUAGUCAGGACAAUGAAUAAAAACUGAAGACUAGAACGCUUCAGUAAGGAAAAAGCAAAAACUUCCACACUGCUGCAGGUACAACACAAUUAGUAACGUGUAUUAAGUGGAAAUAAAAAGAAAACUUUAAUAAAACCCAAGUAGAGAUAUAAUUGAACACAUACAAGAGCAGGAUAUGCAAAAGGAAUAAAGAAAGAACAUAGUCAAGGCAUAAAGAAAAGAAAAAGAAUAAGCAAGAGAAAGUAGCAAGAUAAAGUAGUCAAGACAUGAAAAAAGUAACUAAAACAAAAAAACGAAAAGAAUAAGCUUAUUCAAGAGAAAGUAGCAAGAGAAAGUAGUCGAGACAUGAAAAAAAAAAUAAAACAUGAAUAAAAAACGAAAAGAAUAAGCAAGAGAAAGUAGUCAAGACAUGAAAAAAAGAAAGUAGUCAAGACAUGGAAAACAAAAACAAACGAGAAGCAUAAGCUAGAGAAAGUAGUCAAGAUAUGAAAAGUAAAGCCAUGAAAUAAAAAAAAACGUAAAGAAUAAGCGAGAACGUAGUCAAGACAUGAAAGAAUAAGCAAGAAAGUAGUCAAGACAUGAAAAAAUGAAAAAUAAAAUAAACUUAGGAAGUUUUCCUAUUUGAAAAAGACGAAGUUUUAUUAAAAAGGUAAAAAUACUAUAUAAUUUAGAAACUAUAUACAAAAACAUGUUAAACAAAAAAUACGUUAAACCCAAAAAAAAAAAUAAAUAAAUAAAAUAAAUAAAAUAUAAAUAAAAAUAAAUAAAAAAAAUAGUAAAAAAAAUUACAAGGAAUAUUUGACUUCUAGCGAGGCGCAUUGAUACAACAUUUAGGCGCAUUGAUACAACAUUAAAUCAAUAUCAUGAAAUCAAAUACAAAAAUCAAACACAUGAGCGCAAAUAGAUAAUUUGUUAUCAAACAAAAGACAAAAUACAGAUAAAAUAAAUUUUGAUCGUAGCUACAGAUCAAAUAGAAGAGAGCAAGUAGACAAUAUCAUCUACACUACAGAUGUCAAAGUAAAAAAAAAAAAAUACAACGAAUAUUUGACUUCUAGAGAGGCGCAUUGAUACAACAUUAAAUCAAUAUCAUGAAAUCAAAUACAAAAAUCAAACAAGAGCGCAAAUAGAUAAUUUGUUAUCAAACAAAAGACAAAAUACAGACAAUAAAUUUUGAUCGUAGCUACAGAUCAAAUAGAAGAGAGCAAGUAGACAAUAUCAUCACUACAGAUGUCAAAUAGAAGAGAGCAAGUCGACAAUAUCAACCAGACAAAAUAGAUAAAAUAGAUUUCGAUAGAUGCCACAUAUAUAAAAUACAUGGAAUCUGUACCAUGAAAUCAAAUACAGAAGUCAAAUACAAGAUAACAAGUAGACAAAAAAAAAAAAAAAAGUAGACUAUGAAAAAAAAAAAUAUAUGAAACAGUAAAGAAAGAAACACUAAGUAAGAAUAAUAAACUACGUACCAGUUUUUUUGCACGGUUUCGAUAGGCACACAUUGAUACAACAUGAAAUCAGUAUCAUGAAAUCAAAUUGAUACAACAUCAAAUCAGUAUCAUGAAAUCAAAUACAAGAAAAUAAGUAGACAAUAGAAAACAAAAAUAUAAAGUACAUAAAAUAAAUACAAAAGUAGUUUCAGAAAAAAAAAAAAAUGAAAAUGAUACACUGCGUACUAGUUUUUCAGGCGGAGUAAGUGCCCGCUUUUUCAGGCGGAGUAAGUGCCCGCGCAAGCAGUCUGACGCGACACAUAGGACGGAAACAGCGGAGGGGGAAGGUGCACUUCUCGAAGCUCCGAGCUUCCAGCAUUUGGCGGUCCAGGCACGCUGAUGAUGCUGUGAUGCCAUUUGGUACCUCGCCUCACCUCCGCUGACCUCUACGUGCUACGGACUGAUCUUCACAAACCUCCCUUGCUGAGGACACUUCUAUUUCACAGUGGAAAAAAUAGCACGUUACACCUUCAGGCUUGAAACGAGGUGAAUAAAACUUGAGGAGGUGAAGUAACCUGUUUCCGGAGAGAAAGAGGCGGGAGAUCACCACUGAAUGCUUUACUUGUAGGAGUCAGGCGAGAUGCUUGAAGGAAUGCCAGCCGAUCCGUAGGUGUCAUCCCCUUCCAGACAGCGCUGCAUCACGGGAUAAAGCUUAGGCGCGGGCGGCGACGGCGGUGACAGCGGAGGCAGCCAGGUCUGAAUGUGGCCUCGCUGCUCUAACCUUAGUAAUUUCUGUGACCCACACUACAUACAUUGAGGUUUUGCUGUGUGGUCGUGGGUCACUUUGCUCCUUUUUCAGCAUAAAUGGUACUGGAGGGUGUUUUCGACAUUAGUGGUUUCCGAUGGCUGGGCGCGGCGACGCCAUUGGGAGCAGGCGAAUAUUUAUGGAGGCUGUGACGGUCCUGUGGGUGGCUGAUAGGAGGCGUGAGAACCGGUGGAGGAUGCAGCUCCCGGAACCACUCUGUUCACAAAAAGGAGGUGGCAUCCUUGACUCCAUGAAGCUGUCGUCGCACUCUCGAUACGCUGUGAUGGCACUUUUGCAGUCUAAUCCCACAAGGCGGCCUGGCACUACCUGGCACCCAUCAAACAUUGCGUAACAUAAUUUUUAUAGUGGUGUAAAAAAAGAAAAAAAAAACGUAAUAUCAAGUUCCAUCCUUUUGGCGCUGGUUGACGUACGUCUUCUUCAUGGUGAUUCUUCUUAAUGGUGAGUACUCUUAAUGAUCCAUCCUCUUCAAAGAUCCGUCACUUGGAGCAGGUCUUCUUGGUGGUGAGUACCCGAUUUAGUAUUAUUUUAAUGUGAAAAGAAGUCUGUAGAAUGUAUGUUGAUGUCUUGGUACUCUACAGUGUCGAGGUUUCUGUCUCUCUGUUUCAGGAACUUUCAAAGAACUUCCACAGCAUGCACUCUGAAACUAACACUCAUACAUAUAUUUUCAUUCCACAAACAGAGACCAGAAAAAUCCGUUUGGUUACAAAGUUAUGACUGGAGCAUAGGGUAUGUAACGUUUGCAGUUCGUGGCCGACAGAUAGUUAUAGUUUAUUAAUGGUUAUGUCUAAUAUUUAGUUGGUUGGCUGGUUGACAUUCACCCACCGUUUAAUAAUUGUGGAAGCUGACCGGGUCCAUAUUAGACAGCCAGGAACGGGAAGCGGGCGGUGCUGCUGCUUCCAGUGACACACACACACACACACACACACACACACACACACACACACACACACACACACACACACACACACACACACACACACACACACACACACACACACACACAGAGAAAA